rfam:Egretta garzetta contig66773, whole genome shotgun sequence.
UUUAAGGCUUUUUUAAAAGCCCCAAAACGUGGCUUUUAAGUUACCU